rnacentral:rRNA from 1 species
UCUGGGUAGUGCGAUCGCAUGCUGUUGCUUGUUCACGGUCUUGGUUACGAUCAGGGCAGUGGUCAGCUCGGCGUAGUGGUUGUGCAACCUUUCAGCCGUGUCUGUGUUUUAUUAAACAGGUGUCGAUGGGUUAAUGAGUAUUGUAUCUUAUUGACCUGUUGGCAUGCUUUCGGAUGCCUUUAAACGGGUGUCGGGGGCGGACGGCAUCUUUACUUUGAACAAAUUUGAGUGCUCAAAGCAGGCCUAUGCGCCUGAAAAUUCUUGCAUGGAAUAAUGAAAUAGGACUUCGGUUCUAUUUUGUUGGUUUUCGGAUCCGAAGUAAU